rnacentral:tRNA from 1 species
AGCUCAACUGGAUAGAGCGUCGGGCUUCGAACCCGAAGGUUGGGGGGGUGAACGCCAAACCAUCCGAAGCAUGUCGCCCGCUUCAUCAGCACCA